rnacentral:rRNA from 1 species
UAGGGAAUCUUCCACAAUGGACGAAAAGUCUGAUGGAGCAACGCCGCGUGAGUGAUGAAAGGGUUUCGGCUCGUAAAACUCUGUUGUUGGAGAAGAACAGGUGUGAGAGUAACUGUUCACAUCUUGACGGUAUCCAACCAGAAAGCCACGGCUAACUACGUGCCAGCAGCCGCGGUAAUACGUAGGUGGCAAGCGUUGUCCGGAUUUAUUGGGCGUAAAGCGAGCGCAGGCGGUUUUCUUUAGGUCUGAUGUGAAAGC